GGACCUGUGGGUUGGUCGUGCCUCCGGUACGUACUGGCUCUACCGGUUCCUCCCUUCUGAAGAACCACGAUGUCAUUAAUUUGGUGUCGUGGGGAAUCAGGACUGUUACUUUGAAAAAAUUAGAGUGUUUAAAGCAGGCAUUUUGCUUGAAUACAUUAGCAUGGAAUAAUAAAAUAGGACGGCAUGAUUCUAUUUUGUUGGUUUCUAGGAUCACCGU
rnacentral:rRNA from 1 species